UGGAAGCGUCAGAAUGCGAUCAAAAUAUCACACAACACUUAUACUGUUACAAGGUGCCAUGUAAGAUGUGGAAACAGAAAUAGGGCCCCAUGGAGAUCCACUUUCAACAAAACUUGAAAGAAAAAACAAGCUGCCAUGAAUAGCCAGAACCCAAGGAAUGAGGUCAUCCUUCCCCUGGAAAUUCCCUUCCACAUCUACUGGGCUUUUGUGUCCACCUGGAUGAGAAGGGCCACAGAACAUGGUCUUGCUCCGCGGCCUAGGCUGACUUUGAAUUCACGAUUGUCUCGUCUCAGUCUCCCAAGCACUUGAAUUACAUGCUUAUGCCACCAUGCCUGACAUUGUGAAUUUUUUAAAUUAAAAAUAUAUUGCAUUUUAUUUA